rnacentral:rRNA from 2 species
GACUGAGGGGGGCUGCUCCUAGUACGAGAGGACCGGAGUGGACGCAUCACUGGUGUUCGGGUUGUCAUGCCAAUGGCACUGCCCGGUAGCUAAAUGCGGAAAAGAUAAGUGCUGAAAGCAUCUAAGCACGAAACUUGCCCCGAGAUGAGUCUUCCCUGAGACCUUGAGUCUCCUGAAGGAACGUUAAAGACGAUGACGUUGAUAGGCCGGGUGUGUAAGCGCAGCGAUGCGUUGAGCUAACCGGUACUAAUGAACCGUGAGGCUUAACCUUACAACGCCGAAGCUGUU